UACGGGGGAUGCAAGCGUUAUCCGGAAUCAUUGGGCGUAAAGCGCCUGUAGGUUGUUUAAUAAGUCUGUUGUUAAAGACUAGGGCUCAACCCUAGAAAAGCAAUGGAAACUACUAAACUAGAGUAUGGUAGGGGUAGAGGGAAUUUCUAGUGUAACGGUGAAAUGUGUAGAUAUUAGAAAGAACACCGGUGGCGAAAGCGCUUUACUGGACCAUUACUGACACUCAGAGGCGAAAGCUAGGGUAGCAAAAGGGAUUAGAUACCCCUGUAGUCCUAGCCGUAAACGAUGGAUACUAGGUCUUGCGCUUUAUGUGCAGUAUCUUAGCUAACGCGUUAAGUAUCCCGCCUGGGGAGUACGCUCGCAAGGGUG
rnacentral:rRNA from 1 species